UACGGAGGGUGCAAACGUUGCUCGGAAUUAUUGGGCGUAAAGAGCUCGUAGGCGGUUUGUCGCGUCUGCUGUGAAACCCCGAGGCUCAACCUCGGGUCUGCAGUGGGUACGGGCAGACUGGAGUGCGGUAGGGGAGAAUGGAAUUCCUGGUGUAGCGGUGGAAUGCGCAGAUAUCAGGAGGAACACCGAUGGCGAAGGCAGUUCUCUGGGCCGUAACUGACGCUGAGGAGCGAAAGCGUGGGGAGCGAACAGG
rnacentral:rRNA from 1 species